rnacentral:rRNA from 1 species
AACGAACGCUGGCGGCAGGCCUAACACAUGCAAGUCGAGCGCCCCGCAAGGGGAGCGGCGGACGGGUGAGUAACGCGUGGGAACGUACCCUUUGCUACGGAAUAGCCUCGGGAAACUGGGAGUAAUACCGUAUGUGUCCUUCGGGAGAAAGAUUUAUCGGCAAGGGAUCGGCCCGCGUUGGAUUAGGUAGUUGGUGGGGUAAUGGCCUACCAAGCCGACGAUCCAUAGCUGGUUUGAGAGGAUGAUCAGCCACACUGGGACUGAGACACGGCCCAGACUCCUACGGGAGGCAGCAGUGGGGAAUCUUAGACAAUGGGCGCAAGCCUGAUCUAGCCAUGCCGCGUGAGCGAUGAAGGCCUUAGGGUUGUAAAGCUCUUUCAGGGGGGAAGAUAAUGACUGUACCCCCAGAAGAAGCCCCGGCUAACUCCGU